UCGGAGCUAAACUGUUUCCCUGUGCUCCA
rnacentral:piRNA from 1 species